rnacentral:lncRNA from 10 species
AGUGAAUAAGUCUUACAAGAUCUGAUGGUUUUAUAAAGAGGAGUUCCCCUGCACAAGCUUUUCUCUCAUUUUGCCUGCUGCCAUCCAUGUAAGACAUUAGUUGCUCCUCCUUGCCUUCCACUAUGAUUGUGUACUUCCCCAGCCACUUGGAACUCCCCUGAACUAUGAAACACACGUCUAUGAAGAUGGAGAUGUUCUGAGGCUCCUGGGACCCUUGGUACGUCCUAGCUGGUGCUGGAUGGGGUGCAGCUGGAGAAUCGCUUGAACCCGGGAGGUGGAGGUUGCAGUGAGCCAAGAGUGCACUCCAGCCUGGGCGACAGAGUGAGACUGCGUCUCAAAAAAAGAAAGAACUACAAAAUGUUGUUGAGAGAAGUUAAAUAAGGUCUAAGUAAAUAGAAAGAUAUACCUUAUUUAUGGAUUAGAAGAGUCAAUAAUAAGAUGUAAAUUCUUGGAAGGAACCUGGGGGAAAAAAAAGAUGCAAUAAAACUCCCAGCAGUCUUUAAAAAAUAAAAGAAAGACCUCUCCCUCUCCCCAUCCCCCUCCCCCUCCCCCUCCCCCUCCCCCUCCCUCCUCUCCCUCUCCCUCUCCCUCUCCCUCUCCCUCUCCCUCUCCUUCUCCCUCUCCCUCUCCCCUUUCCACGGUCUCCCUCUGAUGCCGAGCCGAAGCUGGACUCUCCCUCUUUCCACGGUCUCCCUCUGAUGCCGAGCCGAAGCUGGACUGUACUGCUGCCAACUCGGCUCACUGCAACCUCCCUGCCUGAUUCUCCUGCCUCAGCCUGCCGAGUGCCUGCGAUUGCAGGCGCGCACCGCCACGCCUGACUGGUUUUCGUAUUUUUUUGGUGGAGACGGGGUUUCGCUGUGUUGGCCGGGCUGGUCUCCAGCUCCUGACCGCAAGUGAUCCGCCAGCCUCGGCCUCCCGAGGUGCCGGGAUUGCAGACGGAGUCUCGUUCACUCAGUGCUCAAUGGUGCCCAGGCUGGAGAGCAGUGGCGUGAUCUCGGCUCGCUACAACCUCCACAUCCCAGCCGCCUGCCUUGGCCUCCCAAAGUGCCGAGAUUGCAGCCUCUGCCCGGCCGCCACCCCGUCUGGGAAGUGAGGAGCGUCUCUGCCUGGCCCCCCAUCGUCUGGGACGUGAGGAGCCCCUCUGCCUGGCUGCCCAGUCUGGAAAGUGAGGAGCAUCUCUGCCCGGCCGCCAUCCCAUCUAGGAAGUGAGGAGUGCCUCUUCCCGGCCGCCAUCCCAUCUAGGAAGUGAGGAGCAUCUCUGCCUGACCUGCCCAUCGUCUGAGUGGGGAGCGCCUCUGCCCCGCUGCCCAGUCUGGGAUGUGAGGAGCGCCUCUGCCCGGCCGCGACCCCGUCUGGGAGGUGAGGAGCGUCUCUGCCCGGCCGCCCCGUCUGAGAAGUGAGGAGACCCUCUACCUGGCAACCACCCCGUCUGAGAAGUGAGGAGCCCCUCCGCCCGGCAGCCACCCUGUCUGAGAAGUGAGGAGCCCCUCCGCCCGGCAGCCACCCCAUCUGAGAAGUGAGGAGCCCCUCCGCCUGGCAGCCACCCCGUCUGGAAAGUGAGGAGCGUCUCCGCCCGGCAGCCACCCCGUCCGGGAGGGAGGUGGGGGUCAGCCCCCGCCAGGCCAGCCGCCCCUUCCGGGAGGUGAGGGGCGCCUCUGCCCGGCCGCCCCUACUGGGAAGUGAGGAGCCCCUCUGCCCGGCCAGCCGCCCCGUCCGGGAGGGAGGUGGGGGGUCAGCCCCCGACCCGGCCAGCCGCCCCGUCUGGGAGGUGAGGGGCGCCUCUGCCCGGCCGCCCCUACUGGGAAGUGAGGAGCCCCUCUGCCCGGCCACCACCCCGUCUGGGAGGUGUACCCAGCAGCUCAUUGAGAACGGGCCAUGAUGACAAUGGUAGUUUUGUGGAAUAGAAAGGGGGGAAAGGUGGGGAAAAGAUUGGGAGAUCGGAUGGUUGCCGUGUCUGUGUAGAAAGAAGUAGACAUGGGAGACUUUUCAUUUUGUUCUGUACUAAGAAUUCUUCUGCCUUGGGAUCCUGUUGAUCUGUGACCUUGCCCCCAACCCUGUGCUCUCUGAAACAUGUGCUGUGUCCACUCAGGGUUAAAUGGAUUAAGGGCGGUGCAAGAUGUGCUUUGUUAAACAGAUGCUUGAAGGCAGCAUGCUCGUUAAGAGUCAUCACCACUCCCUAAUCUCAAGGACCCAGGGACACAAACACUGCGGAAGGCCACAGGGUCCUCUGCCUAG